rnacentral:rRNA from 2 species
UAAGGUGGUUAUAGCGACGGGGCUCACCUCUUACCUUUCCGAACAGAGAAGUUAAGCCCGUUAGCGCCGAUGGUACUGCAACUGUGGGAGAGUAGGUCAUCGCCUUUU